AAACAGCCCCUGCCCUGGAAUGCCGCUCCUGGCCUGGCAUCCUGGGAGCGUGUGUCCAGCCUGCGGGACAGAGAUAAGCGUAAACCUAGCCUCUGAUUCUGAACACUAGCUAAGGCUCCCGACAGUUGACGAGAUUGAUGAUUUUCAGCUGGUAUGUCUCCGUAACUGAGGAGGCCAUAGCUUUGAUGUAUUGGUCAGAUCAAUUUGGCUUAAGUGCCCCAGUAAAUGAAUGCAAAUGACUUAAGGAAAUUUCUAACUCAAAGGCGAGCCACUAAUCCACGUCUUUCAGACCAGAAGCCGAAUCAUCCAAAGCGGGUGCAGUAUGUGGAGAAAGGGGUGCUUGUCUCCUCCGUUUUCUCCUUAGGAAGACUUCACUGUUGGAGACCUUUCUUCUGAGUGCUGCCCUGGGGUGCUGUUCAAAAUCCAGGCGUCUCAUGAAUUAUGCUGCCAGAUCUAGGAGGAGCCAGUCCUCUUUGGAACUAGGUGAACUGGGCUAAUGAGAAACAGGCCCAUCUCAUCCGCCAGCCAGUUUGCUCCAGGGCCAGAGGAAAGCCGGGGCCUCUGGCUCCCACAUCCCAUGUGGCAACCAACCAUCAGGUUAUGCUUGGCUUUGCAACCAUCAGGAAAGGCCUCACGUCUGCCUAACUGCAAAACAAUUUGGUUGGCUUAUAAAUUGCUGCCUCUAUCAUGUGCUUCUGAAUUAAAAGGAACGGAUGGUUUUUAAAGGUUUAUCUGUUUCAUUAUUGAUGCAGAAUGACCUCGUGCUGACAAAUUUCGAUUUUCACACGGUUUCUUUGCUGAUGCAGUAUCUCUGCCACCCAUGCUCUAGGGCAGCGUGGAGCCACUUCAGAGCAUGGCUUUUGUGAGCCAGCGCCCAGCAGGGUGUUCUUUUCUGAGUGCAAAGAGAGAAUCCACUGACCUCAUUUGCUUCCAUCCUGUGAACCUCUCAGUGUGUUUCAGAACACCAGGGUCUGAACAGAGAAGCUUCAGAAUACUUUCUCCGACUAGAGAACUUUUUUAUGGUGGGAGGAAAAAAUGUUGCCAGUCCCACUUCACAGACACCUGGAAUUCAUGAAGUCUGAGGACUUCUUUCAUUUUACUUUCAACUAAAAGCUCUAGCACGAAACAGCAAAGGCUCACAGAACUAAAGAUCAGGAGGUGGCCCUGUGAGAGGGUGUUCAGCCUGGAUCCCUGGUGAAACUCCAUCAUUGAGCAGUAUGUCUCCCUCCUUUUUUCCUCUCAAGCAUAUCUACUUCAGAAAGCGUGGAAAGAAAAGAGCCUGGUGGGAAAAGUCUAUCAAGUGAUAGUGACGUGCCCUUAUGGAAAAAAUUCUGGGAUAACACCCUCCAAAACCCCGCAAGGUGAAGCUCAUGUCAUCCAAAACCAAGGCAUGAGCCAGAGCCUAAAUAGAGGAAAGAAAAUAGAAGAGAGAAUUCUAGCGACAUAUCUGGUCAUCAUUCCAAGCAACCUGGCUGAACUUUUGCAUCGACAAACAAUUUUUUCUUGAGCAUUUUUAAAUUUACAAGCUGGUUUUCAACAAAGCUUUUCAAAAAGAAGUCUUUAUGAUGGUAAAUCUUUAAAAGAAAUGUGUUUUAGACCAAGAAAGGCAAACCUUUCAUGUCCUGUUUAGUCUCUAGCAUGCUUGUUUUCAAAACACAAGCUCCAGUCUGCAUGUUUCUGCAGUCAACUGUCUGUCUUAGAAAAUAUCUCAAAAUCAAUCUGUCCCCGUGUUUGCUUAUGAUUCUGCGGUAAUCCUCUGUUUGUAGUCACAAGUUGUCAGGAGAACAUCAUGUAAGGCAUGGUAUGAAGACUUAAGAAAUCUUGAAAUCAGAAACUUCAAUUUUCUUUCUCUUGAAGUGUUUCUAAGGGAUGAAAAAUGAGAAAGGAAAUUAGCAUCUACUGUUACCUCAUUUAAUUCCUUCAACCAUCUUCAGGGUAUUAUUGUCUCCAAAAAGAAACCAAGGUUCAGAGAAGAGGACUCACUUGCCCUGUGACCUAUGACCAGGGGUCCCACGUUGGGACCCAGAAUUCUGACUCGAACCCAGUGCUGGCUCCCCUGUGUCCCAGGGAUGGGCAGGAUAAGAUGUUCUUUAAAACUUUGUUUGUUGGGCACCUCAAAAAACCCUUAUGAAUUAUUGCUUAAGUUAUUUUGGCAUAAUAACGUCACUAAGUCCAUGGAAAAUUAAACUUUUAGAAUCUCUGUUAUAUGGCUAGAUCAAUACUAAACUACCCCUUUUUUUCCAAGUCCCUGGAAAAAGUGAAAUUAUAAGUUUUGACUACAUGGGAGGGCUUUGGUGCCUCAUACACUUGCAUUAAAUGCAGUAUCCUUGAAAAUAAUAGAAUAUGUAUUUGUGAGAGUAAAAAUUUAUACAUGCAGCAGUCCAUAAGAGAAUUAGAUCUAGAAAGUACAACUUGAAAGAGUUCUAAACUCUUAGAACAAAUUGAUUUAAAUUUGAAUAGUACUGAAUAUGAAUUGAUGGAAAGUGAAUAUUUAGAACCCCCUUUUGUGAAUUUCAGUAAGCUGACAUUUGUUAGCUCCUGACGCAGUAGCUUUUCUGAGUCAAGAACUGAAGGUACCUUGAAUUACCUGACAGAUAAUCAUACAGAGAUGUGAAGUCAAAUGUCAUAUUCCAUUAAGCCUAAUCUGCAGUUGCAGGAAGGGUGGACAAUCUUGCCUAAACAUUUGACAGAUUUGGAAUGUCUCUUGCCAUAGACAUUUAGCAUGAACCAGCUUCAUUGUCCUAGUAUCUGUCACACAGAAAUGGUCCCUUGCUCGGCUUCUAAUGGAUUUGCUGCAAAGGCUGUGAGGAAUGAGUCACACUCAGGGACACGAUGACACAGGAACAGCUUCUACAACACAAUCCUCUGCAAUAGGGAAAGCUGUGCCUCUCCCCAGGGACCUGCCUAUAAAGUUGGUCUUCUUUCCACUAAGGAGGCAUUCCUGAGAGCCCCCCAUAAAUUAAGGAGAACUUCUCUAGGUAACUACUAAAAAAUAAGGCCAACAAACUAAAUCCUUGGGAUAUGAAAUAUUAAUGUGAUGGGAAUUACCUUAAUAGGAAACAAUUGAGUAUACACUGUAUUACAUAAGUGAGGCUUAAAAAAAAAAUAACAUUGAGUUCCGGGCAUUUUUUUUCUUCCUUGGAAAAUGCCUUGAAAUCUUUUCCAUCAACACAGUCUAACAGUACAGGUUAUGGGUGACAUAUAGUUUCAAGGCAAAUUGCAGCUUAGUUGGUCAAACUCUUUCAGUAGGAAAAAAAAUGACAAUUUGAAAGAGUUCUGGAAGGGCUAACACUAAACAGUUCCAUCUUGACCUCAAACCAACGCAAUCUGCAAACAAGUCAAUAUGUGAACCCAAAGGAAGAUUCUGCCCCAGCCUAAGAAAGGGACAACUUUUCCUUCUCUGGAAUCGAAAUGUUCCAUGAAAUUAAAUCAUUGAUUAAAAGCUGGGGAGGCAAAGACUGUUGAAAUGUCAGUUAAGAUACUUUAGGCUGCAAAUCUGAUUCACCAUUGCUUAAACGAUAAGAAAUGGUAUCUGCACAGCUGGAAGUCCAGGAUGGGAUGGCUUCAAGUUUGGCUCUAUCCAGGGACUGUCUCUCAAUCUUCUGUUUAGUGGGUGUUGUCCUAGGCUGGCUUCACUCAAGGGGAUAAAAAUAAGUAUGGUCCUCCCAGGCCUUAUAUCCAUCUACACAACAUCCUGGGGAAGAGGUUUCUGGAACCUCUAGUACUAAUCCAUAUACCAUGGGAAUAACAGGUACUGAUUGGCUUCAACCUGAAUUCCUUAAAUUAAUCUUUGUGAAAAGGAGGCUGGGAUGACCUUGAUUGAGUUAAAAUAGUCAGGGUUCCACCUGUGGAGUGGAGGAUGAGAUCAGUUUCCUACAAUCCACAUCCUACACAAUGGGUGAGGGAUGGAAGGAAUGCUGGAGACUACCACAUACCCGCCGAUAUUCAUGAUAUCUUGGUCUUUUGUGUUUCACAAUAAACUCUUAA
rnacentral:lncRNA from 1 species